rnacentral:rRNA from 1 species
GGCACGCCUAACACAUGCAAGUCGAACGAAGUAGCAAUACUUAGUGGCAGACGGGUGAGUAACAUGUAGGUAUCUGCCCUUUAGCCUGGAAUAACACGAGGAAACUUGUGCUAAUACCGGAUAAGUCUUUACGGAGAAAGCUUUAUGCACCAUUGGAUGAGCCUGCACUUGAUUAGUUUGUUGGUGGGGUAAUGGCCUACCAAGACUGUGAUCAAUAGCUGAUUUGAGAGGAUGAUCAGCCACAUUGGGACUGAGACACGGCCCAAACUCCUACGGGAGGCAGCAGUGGGGAAUCUUGCACAAUGGAGGAAACUCUGAUGCAGCGAUGCCGCGUGAGUGAAGAAGGCCCUUGGGUUGUAAAGCUCUUUCGUCGGGGAAGAAAAUGACUGUACCCGAAUAAGAAGGUCCGGCUAACUUCGUGCCAGCAGCCGCGGUAAUACGAAGGGACCUAGCGUAGUUCGGAAUUACUGGGCUUNAAGAGUUCGU